rnacentral:lncRNA from 1 species
UUUUAAAGAACUCUAUUGACAAAGUUUAGAUGCAGAACUUGUUAUUUGCAAUGUUUGUUCCAGCAAUAAAGUCAUAUAUGAAAGAUUUAAAAAGCUUCAUCAACUUACAACAACAGACUCUAGAUUCCAAUAUUAGACUAAAUUUAGACCUAAAAGGUUGUGACAAAACCCUGAAGAU